CAUGUAUGCAGUCAAGAGGAACUUAAUGACGCUGUUAUUGAUGAUCAAAAAAUAUUUGCUCCAUUCCUGAGAUAGGAAGCAGCAUCUUCUCCCAAGAUAGGAAACAGUGUCUUGACAGCUUUUUAAGCUAGACAAGAAGACGGUGCAAAGUAAUAUAUGCAAAAAGUGUGGAGUCAAGUGUAUUGUAAAAUGAAGUGCAUAAAUGUGAACAACGGAGUUUCGCUCUUGUUGCCCAAGCUGGACUGCAGUGGCGCGAGCCUGGCUCACUGCAAACUCUGCCUUCCGGUUUCAAGCGAUUCUCCUGCCUCAGCCUCCGGAGUAGCUGGGACUACAGGCACACACCACGCCCAGAGAAAAACAGAUCUUCAACAGUUUUUUGAUGGAAAUAAACAAUUUCAAGUUGAGACAACACAUCAGCUUCAUGCAUUCCUUCAGCUUGAAGUCAACUGGGCCUGGGUUGAAUCUGGUUCUGUUUUGUUGUUGUUUCAUUUUGUUUUUUAGCAUUUGACUAUGUACAGUCUCUAUUUCUAAGUCUUGAUUUCCUCAUUUAUAAAACAAAGCAACUAAAUGAUAUCAAAUACCCUUGUUUUGAAAAUCAAAGAAUAAGCACGGCACCCAAGACAACUUUUUGUAUCACAGGCACACAUGAAUGCUUUUUUCCUUUUCCUUUUCUUAUCAUAAAAACCUAUAUUUUAUGACUUUUACAUUUAUUCCUAGAUGCUCUCAUAUGCAUUAUCUCAUUUUUACAAUAACAUUAUAAAUAUAAACACUGUUAUGCUAUUUUACAGAUGAGAGACUUGAAGCACAGAAGGCUAAAACUACCUUUAACUUCUAAAGAAAUUUUGUGAGAAGCAUCUGAGACUCUUGACAGUUAAAAUCCCUAUCAUUUCAGAAAGUGCAACUGGGGAUCACAUGUAUUUUAAAUAAUUCUAGUUGAGAAUAGUCAAAAGUCGCAUUUAUGAAGGAAGAUUGACAUUUUUAAGCUUCCCAAUGAUUUCAUCAAGCUUAUUUAGUACUCCUAGCCUCAGUUUCUUCACUUGCAAAAUAAGAAUACCAAAAACAGGAGCUUCGUGGAUUAAUUUUAAGAAUUAAAUGGGAAAAUGUUUAUCGACAUUUUAGCACAAGCCUGCUUACAAUAAACAUUUUAAAAAG
ensembl:lncRNA novel transcript